AGAGUUUGAUCCUGGCUCAGGAUGAACGCUAGCGGCAGGCCUAAUACAUGCAAGCCGGACGGCAAGUUGAGUAGCAAUACUUGACCUAGAGUGGCGUAAGGGUGCGUAACACGUAUGCAAUCUGCCCACAGCCGGGAGAUAGCCCUCCGAAAGGAGGAUUAAUAUCCCAUAGGAAGAUGAGAUGGCAUCAUUUUAUUUUUAAACUACGGGGCUGUGGAUGAGCAUGCGGUUGAUUAGCUAGUUGGCGGGGUAAAGGCCCACCAAGGCGAUGAUCAAUAGGGGACCUGAGAGGGUGAUCCCCCACACUGGCACUGAGAUACGGGCCAGACUCCUACGGGAGGCAGCAGUAGGGAAUAUUGGACAAUGGGUGUAAGCCUGAUCCAGCCAUGCCGCGUGCAGGAAGAAGGCCUUCUGGGUUGUAAACUGCUUUUGCCGGGGGAUAAAAGAUCCAUGCGUGGAGAAUUGAAGGUACCCGGUGAAUAAGCCACGGCUAACUACGUGCCAGCAGCCGCGGUAAUACGUAGGUGGCAAGCGUUGUCCGGAUUUAUUGGGUUUAAAGGGUGCGUAGGCGGUCCUGUAAGUCAGUGGUGAAAUACGGCAGCUCAACUGUCGAGGUGCCAUUGAUACUGCGGGACUUGAGUACAGACGAGGUAGGCGGAAUUGACGGUGUAGCGGUGAAAUGCUUAGAUAUCGUCAAGAACACCGAUAGCGAAGGCAGCUUACUAGACUGUAACUGACGCUGAGGCACGAAAGUGCGGGGAUCAAACAGGAUUAGAUACCCUGGUAGUCCGCACAGUAAACGAUGGUCACUCGGUGUUGGCGAUACACAGCCAGCGCCUUAGCGAAAGCGUUAAGUGACCCACCUGGGGAGUACGCCCGCAAGGGUGAAACUCAAAGGAAUUGACGGGGGUCCGCACAAGCGGUGGAGCAUGU
rnacentral:rRNA from 1 species